GACGAACGCUGGCGGCGUGCUUAACACAUGCAAGUCGAACGGAAAGGCCCUGCUUGCAGGGUACUCGAGUGGCGAACGGGUGAGUAACACGUGGGUUAUCUGCCCUGCACUUCGGGAUAAGCCUGGGAAACUGGGUCUAAUACCGGAUAGGAGCCAUUUUUAGUGCGAUGGUUGGAAAGUUUUUUCGGUGUAGGAUGAGCUCGCGGCCUAUCAGCUUGUUGGUGGGGUAAUGGCCCACCAAGGCGGCGACGGGUAGCCGGCCUGAGAGGGUGGACGGCCACAGUGGGACUGAGAUACGGCCCAGACUCCUACGGGAGGCAGCAGUGGGGAAUAUUGCACAAUGGGCGCAAGCCUGAUGCAGCGACGCCGCGUGGGGGAUGACGGCCUUCGGGUUGUAAACUCCUUUCGCUAGGGACGAAGCUUUUUGUGACGGUACCUAGAGAAGAAGCACCGGCUAACUACGUG
rnacentral:rRNA from 1 species